rnacentral:rRNA from 1 species
AUUGAGUGGGGGGUAACGUAGCGAAGUUACGCUAAUACCGCAUAUUCUGUGAGCAGGAAAGCAGGGGAUCGCAAGACCUUGCGCUCUUUGAGCGGCCGAUGCAGAUUAGCUAGUUGGUGAGGUAACGGCUUACCAAGGCGACGAUCUGUAGCGGGUCUGAGAGGAUGAUCCGCCACACUGGAACUGAGACACGGUCCAGACUCCUACGGGAGGCAGCAGUGGGGAAUUUUGGACAAUGGGGGCAACCCUGAUCCAGCCAUGCCGCGUGAGUGAAGAAGGCCUUCGGGUUGUAAAGCUCUUUCGGCCGGGAAGAAAUCGCAUGGGUUAAUACCCUGUGUGGAUGACGGUACCGGCAUAAGAAGCACCGGCUAACUACGUG